AAUAUUGCACAAUGGAGGGAACUCUGAUGCAGCAACGCCGCGUGAGUGAAGAAGGUUUUCGGAUCGUAAAACUCUGUCAUUGGGGAAGAAUAAAUGACGGUACCCAAUGAGGAAGCCCCAGCUAACUACGUGCCAGCAGCCGCGGUAAUACGUAGGGGGCAAGCUUUGUCCGGAAUUAUUGGGCGUAAAGGGUGCGUAGGCGGCCCUUUAAGUCAGAUGUGAAAGCCCACGGCUUAACCGUGGGACUGCAUUUGAAACUGGAGGGCUUGAGUGUCGGAGAGGGCAGUGGAAUUCCCAGUGUAGCGGUGGAAUGCGUAGAUAUUGGGAGGAACACCAGUGGCGAAGGCGACUGCCUGGACGAUAACUGACGCUGAGGCACGAAAGCGUGGGGAGCAAACA
rnacentral:rRNA from 1 species